rnacentral:rRNA from 1 species
AGAGAGAGAGAGGAGGGGCGUGUGUGGGGUACGAAGGCGAAGAAGAAGGGGGUAGUUAGCGCUUGGCCUAUCCCCUAUCAUCUAUCUAGCGGGGGUUUAGAAACGGGACUUGUGGCGCGGCCGGCCGGCGAAGGUGGGUGGUGGUGCGGGAGGGCGAGAGGGGUCUAAGCCGAGAGGCACCUCUAAAGGCCCUAGAAAGGCGGCCGCUGCAGCGGGUACCGCACGAUGACUGUACCAGGCGGCGCGGUGUUCGACGGCGGCACGUGUCCAGUCCGAGGCGAGGCAGGGGGAGAGGAGCGAGGCUAGACGGCCCACCGCCGAGGCCGGCUCCCGGGCUCGAAACUGCCCGAGGACUAGAUCGGUUUCUAACCAAAAACGAAGGGGCCUCUAGAAAGGCACCUAAGCCAGCGGCGCGAAGGUAAAAACAUCGGAGCCAAAAAGGAGGGAAAGGGCAACAUAAAGCGCAGGCUAAGCCGUCCAAAGGUCAGGUAGAGCGGCACGAUAAAGCCUGGAGCGAACUGACCGAAGAACUGAGUACAAAAAAACCAAGUCAGCGAAGCUAGGCCGCUCGGUUCUUCUACUUGCCGCGCGGCUAGGGGCGCCGCCGGCCGCGGCUGCGGCGCUGCUGCGGGUUCUUCUUACGCCAGCGGCUCUACCGGUCCGUGGAGUGGCAGCUGUGCCUGCUGCGGAAGCGGCCGGAGGAGCUCGAGCGGCGGCUGCUGCUGCGCCUGCCGGACGCGGCGCGCGACCUCGCGCGCGGGGGGCGGCGGCGCCUGCUCCGGCCGGAGACCAUGCCGGCGGCCUUCCGGGAGCUCGUCGCGUGGGGCGAGUACCAGCGGCGGUGGAUGCCGUCGGAGCGGCGCGAGGCGGACGACGACAGGCAGGGGAGGCAGCUGCAGUUGGCGGCGACGCCGGGGCUGCCGUGGUGGCGGGAGGUGACGCGGCGGAGACCGCCGAGCAGGAGCCGGCAGCUCCGGCAGUCCGACGAAGACCACCGGCCCCGACUGCGGCUACGGCGUCUACGCAGGCCCACGGCAGGCCGGCUACACUAGAGACACGGCGGUUUCUACUAACUACGCUUCUAGCGGGAGGUUCUAGACGAACCCGAGGGUUUCAGACCCGUACCGCACGAGGCCCACCACUGGUCCCGGUGUUUGGACUGGAGCAGCGGCCACAGUAGUGGGUGGCGGCUCCUGCGGGCCAGAGGUAGUCGACGACACUACUACUACAGUUUCAAGGGUCUGGACGGCUCCCAACGUUGGAGUCUCUUCUUCCUUAUGGGUCACCUAGGUAGGGACGGCCUAUAGUUCUUGUCGUAGAUACGGAGACUACUCAAGGCGUACAUGAGGAAGUUCUAGUCCGGCACGAGGGCCCGUAUGAGCGUACUGACCUGGCUCACGGGGAAACACGUGGGACCCCUCUUGCGAGCCGCGGCGCUAGGCGCGUUCAUAGUGAUGUCAACACAAGGUACGGGACUGAAGUCUUUCCCACACACGGCCGCACCUCUGUACACACUCAUACGAGUACCCCACAAACUCACGACCGAGGUGGGUCGCGUUAUGGCGUGAGCGGAAACGUUCCUACCGUGGCCGACGUUAGCGGCGCAGACAAAGAAACGCGUGUGGUGGCUACUCGAGGCGGGCGACAUACAGAGGUGACCCAGACGCCACGGUAGGGGAUCCCGGAGUCGUUGUCGACGUUACCUCUACCGUCGUCGUUACCCGAACUACGGGCCAAGAGGCAGUAGCCAGAGCCAUCAGUACAGGGGUAAAUGGGGUGGCUCCAGAGGAAGACCGUUACCCUACGGGGGAAGAGACCCGACCGUCGUCGGUUUACAAGGCUGCGAUGUGGAAGGCCCGUCGUCGGAAGUCAGCUCGUCUGAGGCUUCGAGUGAGUUACGUUCCCUAUACGGACACCUACUGAUGAGGGACAACGUCCUAUAACUAAGGGUCGAAUAUUUGCUAGACACGAUGAGCGCAGAACCAAGUAGUCGUCCUCCCUUGGUGUCAAGAGCCUGGUUCUCAGACUUGGGAAGUUUGGACCUACUAGAGAAGAGACGGCUCUACCAGAGCAGGGGCUCCAUGUUGUUACGACUAGUCCCACGAUACAAAAGUGGAAGGGUCUUCCGACGAUAGGAAUUGGUCAAGGUCGUUGUCGUCGUUGAAGAAAGUGGUUAGUUGUGUCCCAAGAGCGGUUUCCGACACCUAUUGGUCGUCUACGUAAGUGCGAGUAGGGAGGACGUUCGUAGUGAACCCUAUAGGAGGGGACCGGCCUACAGGGGGGCGACGCAGCUUAGACCCAGUGGCUACUUGAGGGUGGAUCGACGGCGGGAACGGGUCGCACUCUUCGUUGUCGUCGUCGUCGUGGUUGUCGUGGUCGUCUGUUACUCCUCGGAGUCAAGAGCGCUAGAGCCCGGGUCACGACGUUCUCGUAGCCGACGACAACCGAGAGGAGACUCGAGUAGUACCAGGUUCACCCCUAGAGGAAGUCCCCGUGGCCUAACCCCGCAGUUGCCACUUCUUAACCCAUUCGAAGCGGCCAGUAGAAGGAAACUCGACUCUAGUCCGCCGCUGCUGGGUCUAGAGAGGACCCACGUGUGUGACCAGUUCCUCAGAGGUGGUCUCUUCGUUCACUGGUGUCGACUUAGGUAGUUGUUGAGACAAUCUGGAAGUGGAGUUUACGUAGGGCCACAUUCAUUACCACUUCCGGGGUCACACUCGUGCGUCGACUUGGCUGUACUGGUUCGGCGCCAAUAACCUCGCGACGAGCUCGUCUACGUCGAACUGCUCGUCUAACCAUCAGAUCGUCGUUGUAUCUGCUUGUUGGUCUGCUCGGGCCCCCCCUCCACGCUCUUCUUCAAUGGUAACAAUCGAUUUCUUCUUAACGUUCAUAAAAAAACUAAAAGACAAGUAACGCCACCAGUCAGUCGUUCGUUCGUUCGUUCGCUUUUCCUACCUACCUAUCGACUUCCGCCACUAAGUCCCUAACCAAAAGCAAUUAAAAACCCUCCAUUUAGUUAUGUGUUGAUAACUCAAAGGUAAAGGUCAUCCUCCAAUUUAAUUUCUCACCUCAAUGGAUGGAGUCAAACCCCGGCUUGCCUCCAUCUCUCUUAGCGUGGGGCCGUCGAAGUCAAGUAGAGUAGUCGGUCUUUUCUAAAUCAACAGAUAAGACAAUUAAUUGGGACAAUAUAAUUUAAAAUUUUCUUCUUCCGAGUACACGGUACGGUCUUAAGAAAGGAGAAAAAAAUGGAACCACCAACGACAAAUAAAACAAAUAACAACACUACUGUACCUAUGAACUACAUGACUGCCCCAUAUUUACCAAUGGGCCCGUACGAUAUCAAGGUCCAGGGGUUUAUACAAAAUUAAGAUUAAGAAGGAAGUUGUACUAAACACUCUCCUAAAUGUGGUACCGGAACAAAAACCAGUC